CAGCAGCCGCGGUAAAACGUAGGGUGCGAGCGUUAAUCGGAAUUACUGGGCGUAAAGCGUGCGCAGGCGGUUGUGUAAGACAGGUGUGAAAUCCCCGGGCAUAACCUGGGAACUGCGCUUGUGACUGCACAGCUAGAGUAUGGCAGAGGGGGGUGGAAUUCCACGUGUAGCAGUGAAAUGCGUAGAGAUGUGGAGGAACACCGAUGGCGAAGGCAGCCCCCUGGGCCAAUACUGACGCUCAUGCACGAAAGCGUGGGGAGCAAACAGGAUUAGAUACCCCCGUAGUCCCUGUCUCUUAUAA
rnacentral:rRNA from 1 species